GAUGAAGAACGUAGCGAAAUGCGAUAAGUAAUGUGAAUUGCAGAAUUCAGUGAAUCAUCGAAUCUUUGAACGCACCUUGCGCCCUUUGGCCAUUCCGAAGGGCAUGCCUGUUUGAGUAUCAUGAACACCUCAACUCUUUAUGGUUUUCCAUGAUGAGCUUGGACUCUGGGGGUUUUGCUGGCUCACAGUCGGCUCCUCUAAAAUGAAUCAGCUUAACAGUGUUUGGUGGGUAUCAUGGGUGUGAUAACUAUCUACGCUUGUGGUUUUUCCACCAGGUAACCUUCAGCAGUGGAGGUUCGCUGGAGCUCAUAGAUGUCUCUCCUCAGUGAGGACAGCCCUUUGAAUGUUUGAUCUCAAAUCAGGUAGGACUACCCGCUGAACUUAAGCAUAUCAAUAAGCGGAGGA
rnacentral:misc_RNA from 1 species